GCAGCCGUAGCUCAGUGGCAGAGCUGAAGCCUUCCAAGCUUAAGACGAGGGUUCGAUUCCCACCGGCUGCUCCA
rnacentral:tRNA from 1 species